rnacentral:lncRNA from 1 species
UAUAAAUAUAAACCAGAUGCCCCGCAGGGCGCAGCUUUAUACGACCGCAGAGGUUGAACCCUGAACGGUUGGGGCAAGUAUGGACACAACAUUCAAGCUGGAUUGAGCUCUAAAUUUGGAUUGUGAUUAAAUAGUUGACACAGCAUAGGUUUCUGACACAGAAUGAAUGUGGUCUAAUAAACUUAAAAUUUGUUUUUGCCUUUGAGCAAUUCACUAUGCUGUUGAAUAUUAAUCCUCUCAAAAAAAUGUUUGAAGAAAUUUUCUUUUUAUUUAUGAAAUCUGAAAUGAGAAAAAUU